CAACGUGGGGAACCUGCCCCAUAGUCUGGGAUACCACUUGGAAACAGGUGCUAAUACCAGAUAAGAAAGCGGAUCGCAUGAUCAGCUUUUAAAAGGCGGCGUAAGCUGUCGCUAUGGGAUGGCCCCGCGGUGCAUUAGCUAGUUGGUAAGGUAACGGCUUACCAAGGCAAUGAUGCAUAGCCGAGUUGAGAGACUGAUCGGCCACAUUGGGACUGAGACACGGUCCAAACUCCUACGGGAGGCAGCAGCC
rnacentral:rRNA from 1 species